rnacentral:lncRNA from 1 species
CGGCGAACCUGGUGCCACCCCUUAGACAAAGUCCCAGUCUCCCAGAGGCUUUUACCAGCUGGCCCCAUUCCUUCUGCUGCUGGGUAUAAUAAGGUCCUCUCAACGCUGAAGUGCCUGUGAAACACAGCCCAGAGGAGUUCUCAUUGGUCCUAUGGGCUUUGUCUUCCUCUCUGCCCCACCCAGAUAAUCGCUGCUGCCCCUCCACUCCCAAGAUGCAGCUGUGAUUCUCCAUCCCCACACAUCCCUCAUCAAUGGUUGACUGCAAAGAAGUGAGAAGCCAAGCUUAGAUUCAUGCUCAUGCCUGAACACCCUGAGAGCCUGGUGCUGGAGGGCUGGGUAUCCCCUUGGCCUGCCACCAGCACCUGCACCCACACCAGGCUGGAGCCACGCUCUGCGCACAGAAGGCCCCAGAUCUCGGGGAGUCCCCGAGACACCCUGAAGGGCUGGCUGGCCGGAGGUCAGGUGUGUUCUCCUGCUCUGAACCCUGGGAGCCCCUUGUGGAGUCUGCUGUCUCCAGGCUGAAGAGGACCAAGGGCACCAAGGCCCCAUUCAGCCCUCCGUGUAUCUAAUAAAGUCUGACCCUGUG